rnacentral:rRNA from 1 species
UACGUAGGGGGCAAGCGUUGUCCGGAAUCACUGGGCGUAAAGGGUGCGUAGGCGGGUCUUUAAGCCAGGGGUGAAAUCCUGGAGCUCAACUCCAGAACUGCCUUUGAUACUGAAGAUCUUGAGUCCGGGAGAGGUGAGUGGAACUGCGAGUGUAGAGGUGAAAUUCGUAGAUAUUCGCAAGAACACCAGUGGCGAAGGCGGCUCACUGGCCCGGUACUGACGCUGAGGCACGAAAGCGUGGGGAGCAAACAGG